UUUAUCCGGGCUUGGAACCGGCUAAACGAAAACUACUUAGGCGGAGUUGUUCUACUGAUUCUCUAAUACUGAAAAUUCACAUAUUAUGGAUCUUAGUCAUCAUGACAUCAUAUCUGAAGAACCAAAUAAUCCGUAAGUCAUAUUUGUUCCUAUCCUAUUGGCAUUUGGUCCUCCUAAUUCUAUCAUUUCUUCCUUAAUCAUUCCAAAUAUAUAUUUUCGUGUGCAACUGUGUGUUAUAGAAGAGCAGCAACCAAACAUGAAGGGGUGUGCCAAAAGAACCUGGAUCACUUAUUGCAGAAGGCACAAGAAGAUUUUAUAAGGGUCUCAGGCAGUUAUGGAAAUUCCAGGUGGACCACAGGGAGGACCAGCCAAGAGCAAUUUCCAGAAGACCAUGUGACCACAAGUAUCUGCAUUUUCUAUAUAGAGACAGAUUGAAUGGGAAGGGCAUCUGUCAAUAUUUUAAGUUGUAUUCCAGCUAUUCAAUAGCUUGGGGGUUAAGAGUUAUUCUGUGAGGGAUUUCUCUUUGCUGUAUUGGAAUUAUCCAAUUGCAUAAAUAAAAUUCUGCUCUUCUCUUCUCUCCAAAUUUUCUAUUUGUUCAUCUUUGUUCAGCAAUUUCUUUAAAUUCAGAGUUGGAUUCCUUACCCAGUGAACUGUGAAAGUGAGUGUACAAAUUCUACUCUUCAUUUAGGAUUGCUUUUUCCUUCUUUCUUCUCUUAUUAUUUUUUCCUUUUUUCUUGCAAUCAAAUUUCUUAUUUCCCUUCUCCCCUUCCUAAUUCGAAGUUCAUAAUAUUGUCCCCCACACCAAAAAGUGAACAGGGAAAACGCGGAGCUCCUGCAGAACCCAACAGCAGCAAGACUGCAGAAACACAAUAUUCAAACAUGUACAAAGAUUCCUAAAAGAAAAUUUCAAAGAACAAUACCAUGUAUAAGUCGUCUUCCGAAUUAGUCAUACCUGUUGCUUAAGGUCAUAAGGGU
rnacentral:misc_RNA from 1 species